rnacentral:lncRNA from 1 species
CCAUUUUCUAUACAAAGUGUUCGUGUAAGUAACCAAUUAAAAAAAAACAUAUAAACAAGGAUGGAAAGACAGAAAAGGUGAUAAGGGUAAUCAGAAAGCAAUACAGGCAACGAUUCCCUUACCGCCAGUGGCUUCUCGCGUGCCGUAGCCAGUUUCUGAACUUUUUAGCCUCAAUUACAAGCACAGCAUCAAGUUCCAAGACAUUGCAUAAUGCAUAUUUUCAGUAUGAACUUGCAUUCGGAAUCUUUCAUAAUUUGGGAAACUCCACUGUGGCCUAUUUCUCCUUCAUUAUACUUUUUCUUUUUCUUUUCUAUUUUUUAUUAAAAGAAACCCUCCUCAUUUGGCCACUUCCAUUCGUCUCUGCCAUUCCAACAUCUACAUAUCAAUAAAUAAAUAAAUA